GAGAUCAGAUGGAGACCUUAUGCUUAAUGGAGCCUACUUUACCCCAUCCGGACGUGGUGCUGGAGCCAGUUAUGCUAGGGCAUCAAGCUUAGCAGCCAAGUCCUCUUCACUAGUUGGCACUCUUACCUCAAAUGCUGGUGCACUUACCUGCCGCAGGGGCCGCCAAUGUUAAUGUCCAAGACAUUAAACAUUUGGUGAUGAACACAAUCACAUAUUACUUUUACCUGUUCAGUGAAACUGUCACGAAAUCUAGCCAAUUUUCUUCAUUUCUAAUUCCUUCUCUACCUUUUGCAUCCCUUCCUAAACAUCACCAGCAAGAAAUAUAUUUUUAUUUUGCACAUUUGAAUCCCCUUGUCCAUUGUUCCACCUGUCUAAUGUACCAGUGCAGCAGCGUUCAACCUCGCCCUGCUUCAACGGGAAAAUUAACUCCAGGAUCUAUGGAGCAGGUGUUGAAGUGUUGUCCUUCUCUCCUUGGAAUCAUUUAUCCUUCUCUUCUACCAAGCUUGCUUUACAAUCUUGAUCAGCAAACUACAUAUCUUGAAUAUGGUUGAUAGGAAAUGGACUUCUUUUUUUUCCUUCUCCUCUCAAUAUGGACCAUUCAGAAGCAUAGUAUUAAUGAUUGCAGACAAAUAUGAAAAAGAAACCCAAAAAAAGAAAGAAAGAGAUGAAAGUUGAUUUUCUGGUUUAUUGUUAAACAUCUUUAGCUUUAAUUACUGAAACUGUCAUCCUAUAUAAUGUAAUUAUUUUAUGGUUUUGCUUCAUAAUUCAAGUUAUUGCUGCCUAUUUCUUUUUUACUUCCCCCCCCCCCCCAUUGUAAAUGUCAACGAAUGUUGACUUAUUAUGAUGGCAAUUGCAGUUUUCCUUGGC
rnacentral:lncRNA from 1 species